UACAGAGGUCCCAAGCGUUGUUCGGAUUCACUGGGCGUAAAGGGUGCGUAGGCGGUCGGGUAAGUCUGAUGUGAAAUCUCCGGGCUCAACUCGGAGUCUGCAUCAGAAACUGCCGUGCUCGAGUGUGGGAGAGGUGAGUGGAAUUCCCGGUGUAGCGGUGAAAAUGCGUAGAUAUCGGGAGGAACACCUGUGGCGAAAAGCGGCUCACUGGACCACAACUGACGCUGAGGCGGCGAAAGCUAGGGGAGCAAC
rnacentral:rRNA from 1 species